UACGUAGGCAGCGAGCGUUGUUCGGAGUUACUGGGCGUAAAGGGUGUGUAGGCGGUUUUCUAAGUUUGGUGUGAAAUCUCCCGGCUCAACCGGGAGGGUGCGCCGAAAACUGGGAGACUAGAGUGCGGGAUGGGAGAGUAGAAUUCCUGGUGUAGCGGUGAAAUGCGCAGAUAUCAGGAGGAACACCGAUGGCGAAGGCAGGUCUCUGGGCCAUAACUGACGCUGAGAAGCGAAAGCAUGGGGAGCGAACAGG
rnacentral:rRNA from 1 species